rnacentral:rRNA from 1 species
AGAGAGUUCAAGAGUACGUGAAACUGUUCGGAGGAAAAUGGGUGAUCGUUCGAUGUCCCGACGGAGCGGCAAUCAAGGCGCCGACGUCUCGUUCGCGAGUCCCCGCGAAGGAGGAAAGCGUUCGGGCCCGAGGCGCCGCAGUUGCCGCUCCCGGCGGACGCCGCGCCCGGAUCGGCGACGGCAGAGAGGAUCGCGUCGGGAGCACGCGACGGCCUCGCUGUGUGUGGGGCCGGCGCGACCCGACCGAACUCCCGGUGCGACGCCGGUCCGGUUCAGAGUCCGGAAUACGGACGGGCCCAGGUCCACAGAAACGCGCGACGCACGGGGUCCGGCGCGCGUACGAKCCGGCCGCGACAAAGAUCUAUCGCGGCCGGGGAAGACGCGACGGACCGCGGAGACGGGACGCGGACCGACGACGGCCCCAGCGGCGAGUUGCUCACCCAACCCGUCUUGAAACACGGACCAAGGAGUCCGACUCGUGCGCGAGUCACUGGAUCUCGAACAAGUCCAAGGGCGAAAUCAAGGUGACCCCAGUCGCGAUCCGCAGGCUCCGGCCUCGGCGCAGCGACGGCCCGACCGCAGUCGGUCGGAGCUCUAGCGCACGGGUCGGCACCCGAAAGAUGGUGAGCUAUACCCGGGCGGGCUGAAGCCGGGGGAAACUCUGGUGGAGGGCCGCCGCGAUCCUGACGUGCAAAUCGGCCGUCCGAAUUAGG